rnacentral:rRNA from 1 species
GAUGAACGCUGGCGGCGUGCCUAAUACAUGCAAGUCGAGCGAACGGACGAGAAGCUUGCUUCUCUGAUGUUAGCGGCGGACGGGUGAGUAACACGUGGAUAACCUACCUAUAAGACUGGGAUAACUUCGGGAAACCGGAGCUAAUACCGGAUAAUAUUUUGAACCGCAUGGUUCAAAAGUAAAAGACGGUCUUGCUGUCACUUAUAGAUGGAUCCGCGCUGCAUUAGCUAGUUGGUAAGGUAACGGCUUACCAAGGCAACGAUGCAUAGCCGACCUGAGAGGGUGAUCGGCCACACUGGAACUGAGACACGGUCCAGACUCCUACGGGAGGCAGCAGUAGGGAAUCUUCCGAGAUGGGCGAAAGCCUGACGGAGCAACGCCGCGUGAGUGAUGAAGGUCUUCGGAUCGUAAAACUCUGUUAUUAGGGAAGAACAUAUGUGUAAGUAACUGUGCACAUCUUGACGGUACCUAAUCAGAAAGCCACGGCUAACUACG